rfam:Vibrio proteolyticus NBRC 13287 DNA, contig: VPR01S09.
ACUAGUAUUUAACGUAUCAGGGUCCAGCAACAAAAAACCCCGACUUUCGGGGUUUUUUGUUAUCUGAAUUUCUGCACGUUCGGAAUUCAGGUGUUGCUUGGAAUUGAAAUUGGGCUCUGAGCCCUUUUUUU